GUAGACUCUAGCAUCUGGACAUUUGGUCACCUGGAUUCUGAAUCUUACUUCAUCUUUAGAGCUAUGUGACCUCACCUACCUUCUUCGAGCCUCAAGAUCAAUGUGGUGUACCUCCUGAUUAUAGGGACAUAGUUUACAUCAUACCAAGCAUACAACAAAGUGGAUGCUAGAUAAAACUUCACUAAGGUAAUACAUAAAUGAGCAUGAUGCCUCUUUUUGAAGGUGUUAUGUAACCAUGGAGGCGCCAGAU
ensembl:lncRNA